AGGAGAAUAGCUCAAUAAGGUUAGAGUUAUGGUUUUCAAAACCAAAGGUUGAGGGUUCAAGUCCUUCUUCUCCUGA
rnacentral:tRNA from 1 species